UACAGAGGUCCCAAGCGUUGUUCGGAUUCACUGGGCGUAAAGGGUGCGUAGGUGGUGAGGUAAGUCGGAUGUGAAAUCUCCAAGCUCAACUUGGAAACUGCAUUGGAAACUACCUUGCUAGAGGAUUUGAGGGGGGAUUGGAAUACUCGGUGUAGCAGUGAAAUGCGUAGAUAUCAAGUGGAACACCAGUGGCGAAGGCGAAUCCCUGGAAAAUACCUGACACUGAGGCACGAAAGCUAGGGGAGCAAACAGG
rnacentral:rRNA from 1 species